CGAGGCUUUCCGCGUGGCUCUGUUUCCUUGCUCCACGAAGAGAGAACAAUCAAAGAGAAAUCAAGAACGAUCGAGGACUCGAGUCCAGGUGUGUUUCUUUGCUUUGCCCGAAGAGAGAGAGAGAGAGCAUUUUAUCCUUGGCCUCUGGCUGCUAUUUCUCUCUCGAAUUCGUUGUAAGCUGUCGUCUGCGCAUCUGGAGAUUCUUGGGUGUGUGGCUGAUUUGGGCGAAGAGAAGGAGGGUGAUUUUGGAGGAAACGGGAGAGGAGUUUCUACAUGACUGAAUGGAAUAAGGCUUGAAGCUUUACAAACAUUGCAGCCUGGGAGGAGAGGAGCUCUUGCUUGCUUGAAAGAAAAGAAGUGGAAGAAUUGAUCAAUUGUGUUUGCUUGAUGUGUCUGCGGUUCAAUCAAUUGUGGUUGUGAUUCCUGCAGUUAGUGCUUCUAAGGCUGUGUAAUUCUUUGUACUUGACAGCCUAUAGGAGACUUGAUUGAUUUUGUGUGCAAGUUCAGUUGGUGCAACAGUAACAUUCAAGUUGGUUGCCUAUAAUUGACAUUCCAAAAGCAGGUGAAGCUGUGAAAAAUAGAAGUGGAUAAUAUAUUGGGAACAAUGAACUAUCAAUGUUUGCAAGUAUUUUGAAUUCAGGUUUCAACUGCUACUGUUACUUUUGCUGCAGCUCCUGUUGUUGGUGCAACUGAUUUAGUUGUUGUGAGAUUAGUCUGCAGGUUUGUGGUUUUUUCUUUUGGUCCAUAUUGUUGAUCCCUUGCCAUUGUUGGUCCAUAAACAUAUGCUAAUGGACAUCAGCAUCUCUUUUUGACAGACAAAUGAAACGACAGUUGUAACUAGGUUACCCCGUAAGUAGGACAAUGUAAUUUUGACAAGCUGUUUCAACAGCCAUUGUAAUCUAUAUUUGAAUAUUACCAGAACAUCUAUAUUAAUGUUUAUGUUUGUAAACCAAGAUCUAUGUUAGUUCCAAACUGAAUUCUCUA